CAAGCCCUGGAAACGGGGUCUAAUACCGGAUAUGACACACGGCCGCAUGGUCUGUGUGUGGAAAGCUCCGGUGGUGCAGGAUGAGCCCGCGGCCUAUCAGCUAGUUGGUGGGGUAAUGGCCUACCAAGGCGACGACGGGUAGCCGGCCUGAGAGGGCGACCGGCCACACUGGGACUGAGACACGGCCCAGACUCCUACGGGAGGCAGCAGUGGGGAAUAUUGCACAAUGGGCGAAAGCCUGAUGCAGCGACGCCGCGUGAGGGAUGACGGCCUUCGGGUUGUAAACCUCUUUCAGCAGGGAAGAAGCGAGAGUGACGGUACCUGCAGAAGAAGCACCGGCUAACUACGUGCCAGCAGCCGCGGUAAUACGUAGGGUGCGAGCGUUGUCCGGAAUUAUUGGGCGUAAAGAGCUCGUAGGCGGCUUGUCACGUCGGAUGUGAAAGCCCGGGGUUUAACCCCGGGUCUGCAUUCGAUACGGGCAGGCUAGAGUUCGGUAGGGGAGAUCGGAAUUCCUGGUG
rnacentral:rRNA from 1 species